UAUCAAGGAAGAAAGAUCUGACGGUACUGAUGAAUAAGCCACGGCUAAUUCCGUGCCAGCAGCGCGGUAAUACGGGAGUGGCAAGCGUAUCCGGAAUUAUUGGGCGUAAAGCGUCCGCAGGCGGCCCUUCAAGUCUGCUGUUAAAAAGUGGAGCUUAACUCCAUCAUGGCAGUGGAAACUGUUGGGCUUGAGUGUGGUAGGGGCAGAGGGAAUUCCCGGUGUAGCGGUGAAAUGCGUAGAUAUCGGGAAGAACACCAGUGGCGAAGGCGCUCUGCUGGGCCAUCACUGACGCUCAUGGACGAAAGCCAGGGGAGCGAAAGGGAUUAGAUACCCCUGUAGUCCUGGCCGUAAACGAUGAACACUAGGUGUCGGGGGAAUCGACCCCCUCGGUGUCGUAGCCAACGCGUUAAGUGUUCCGCCUGGGGAGUACGCACGCAAGUGUGAAACUCAAAGGAAUUGACGGGGGCCCGCACAAGCGGUGGAGUAUGUGGUUUAAUUCGAUGCAACGCGAAGAACCUUACCAGGGUUUGACAUCCUGCGAAUCUCUUGGAAACAGGAGAGUGCCUUCGGGAACGCAGUGACAGGUGGUGCAUGGCUGUCGUCAGCUCGUGUCGUGAGAUGUUGGGUUAAGUCCCGCAACGAGCGCAACCCACGUCUUUAGUUGCCAGCAUUUAGUUGGGCACUCUAGAGAGACUGCCGGUGAUAAACCGGAGGAAGGUGUGGAUGACGUCAAGUCAUCAUGCCCCUUACAUCCUGGGCUACACACGUACUACAAUGCUACGGACAAAGGGCUGCAAGUUCGCGAGGACAAGCAAAUCCCAUAAACCGUGGCUCAGUUCAGAUCGUAGGCCGCAACUCGCCUACGUGAAGGCGGAAUCGCUAGUAAUCGCAGGUCAGCAUACUGCGGUGAAUACGUUCCCGGGCCUUGUACACACCGCCCGUCACACCAUGGAAGUUGGCCACGCCCGAAGCCGUUACUCCAACCCUUGUGGAGGAGGA
rnacentral:rRNA from 1 species